rnacentral:tRNA from 1 species
GCAUCGGUGGCUCAGUUGGUAAAGUACUAGGCUUUUAAUCUGAGGGUCCAGGGUUUAAGGCCCUGUUCAGGCA